rnacentral:rRNA from 1 species
ACUCAAAUGAAUUGACGGGGACCCGCACAAGCGGUGGAGUAUGUGGUUUAAUUCGACGCAACACGAAAAACCUUACCUGGGCUCGAACGACUGGAAGUAGUUUCGGUGAAAGUCGAAAUGACCUGUAAAAUCAGGAACCAGCCGAGGUGCUGCAUGGUUGUCGUCAGCUCGUGUCGUGAGAUGUUGGGUUAAGUCCCGCAACGAGCGCAACCCUCAUCUCCUGUUGCCACCCCGAAAAGGAGCACUCUGGAGAAACUGCCCACGAUGAGUGGGAGGAAGGUGAGGACGACGUCAAAUCCCCAUGGCCCUUAUGUCCAGGGCUACACACGUACUACAAUGGCCGAUACAGAGGGAUGCAAAGCGGUAACGCAGAGCCAAUCCUAUAAAGUUGGCCUCAGUUCAGAUCGUGGGCUGCAACCCGUCCACGUGAAGGAGGAAUCGCUAGUAAUCGCGAAUCAGAAGGUCGCGGUGAAUACGUUCCCGGGUCUUGUACACACCGCCCGU